ACUCUGUCAAGGAGUACUGUGCUCGCCCUAUUCUUCUACUUUUCCCCCUGUGCACCUUUUGUAGGCUAUGAUAUCCAUCGUGUGUGAGUUCACGCUCAUUACCGGUUCAAGGGAUUGCUGUUUUAUUACGGCUGCUCUUGCCCUUCAUAUGCCUAUGUCUUUAUACACUCUUAAACAAGUCUAGAAUGUCUUUUGUGGGUCCAUUGACCUAUAAACUUAAUACAACUUUCAACAACGGAUCUCUUGGCUCUCGCAUCGAUGAAGAACGCAGCGAAAUGCGAUAAGUAAUGUGAAUUGCAGAAUUCAGUGAAUCAUCGAAUCUUUGAACGCACCUUGCGCCCUUUGGUAUUCCGAAGGGCAUGCCUGUUUGAGUGUCAUUAAAUUCUCAAACCUUGAUCAGUUUUGCACUGAUUCAAGGCUUUGGAUGUGGGAGUCUUUGCUGGUACUCUUUUGGAUCAGCUCUCCUCAAAUGCAUUAGCGGUUACUUGAUCCCCUUUCCUUGGUGUGAUAAUUAUCUACGCCUUUGAAAUGAUCAGCAGUGUAUCAGCUUCUAACAGUCCAUUGACUUGGACAACUUUAUUGACCAUUUGACCUCAAAUCAGGUAGGACUACCCGCUGAACUUAAGCAUAUCAAUAAGCGGAGGAGG
rnacentral:rRNA from 1 species